GGUUAAGUUAGAAAGGGCGCACGGUGGAUGCCUUGACACUAGGAGUCGAUGAAGGACGGGACUAACGCCGAUAUGCUUCGGGGAGCUGUAAGUAAGCUUUGAUCCGAAGAUUUCCGAAUGGGGAAACCCACCAUACGUAAUGGUAUGGUAUCCUUAUCUGAAUACAUAGGGUAAGGAAGACAGACCCAGGGAACUGAAACAUCUAAGUACCUGGAGGAAGAGAAAGCAAAUGCGAUUUCCUGAGUAGCGGCGAGCGAAACGGAACAUAGCCCAAACCAAGAGGCUUGCCUCUUGGGGUUGUAGGACAUUCUAUACGGAGUUACAAAGGAACGAGGUAGACGAAGCGACCUGGAAAGGUCCGUCGUAGAGGGUAACAACCCCGUAGUCGAAACUUCGUUCUCUCUUGAAUGUAUCCUGAGUACGGCGGAACACGUGAAAUUCCGUCGGAAUCUGGGAGGACCAUCUCCCAAGGCUAAAUACUCCCUAGUGAUCGAUAGUGAACCAGUACCGUGAGGGAAAGGUGAAAAGCACCCCGGAAGGGGAGUGAAAGAGAUCCUGAAACCGUGUGCCUACAAAUAGUCAGAGCCCGUUAACGGGUGAUGGCGUGCCUUUUGUAGAAUGAACCGGCGAGUUACGAUCCCGUGCGAGGUUAAGCUGAAGAGGCGGAGCCGCAGCGAAAGCGAGUCUGAAUAGGGCGUUUAGUACGUGGUCGUAGACCCGAAACCAGGUGAUCUACCCAUGUCCAGGGUGAAGUUCAGGUAACACUGAAUGGAGGCCCGAACCCACGCACGUUGAAAAGUGCGGGGAUGAGGUGUGGGUAGCGGAGAAAUUCCAAUCGAACCUGGAGAUAGCUGGUUCUCCCCGAAAUAGCUUUAGGGCUAGCCUUAAGUGUAAGAGUCUUGGAGGUAGAGCACUGAUUGGACUAGGGGUCCUCAUCGGAUUACCGAAUUCAGUCAAACUCCGAAUGCCAAUGACUUAUCCUUAGGAGUCAGACUGCGAGUGAUAAGAUCCGUAGUCAAAAGGGAAACAGCCCAGACCGCCAGCUAAGGUCCCAAAGUGUGUAUUAAGUGGAAAAGGAUGUGGAGUUGCUUAGACAACUAGGAUGUUGGCUUAGAAGCAGCCACCAUUUAAAGAGUGCGUAAUAGCUCACUAGUCGAGUGACUCUGCGCCGAAAAUGUACCGGGGCUAAAUACACCACCGAAGCUGCGGAUUGAUACCAAUGGUAUCAGUGGUAGGGGAGCGUUCUAAGGACAGUGAAGUCAGACCGGAAGGACUGGUGGAGUGCUUAGAAGUGAGAAUGCCGGUAUGAGUAGCGAAAGACGGGUGAGAAUCCCGUCCACCGAAUGCCUAAGGUUUCCUGAGGAAGGCUCGUCCGCUCAGGGUUAGUCAGGACCUAAGCCGAGGCCGACAGGCGUAGGCGAUGGACAACAGGUUGAUAUUCCUGUACCACCUCUUUAUCGUUUGAGCAAUGGAGGGACGCAGAAGGAUAGAAGAAGCGUGCGAUUGGUUGUGCACGUCCAAGCAGUUAGGCUGAUAAGUAGGCAAAUCCGCUUAUCGUGAAGGCUGAGCUGUGAUGGGGAAGCUCCUUAUGGAGCGAAGUCUUUGAUUCCCCGCUGCCAAGAAAAGCUUCUAGCGAGAUAAAAGGUGCCUGUACCGCAAACCGACACAGGUAGGCGAGGAGAGAAUCCUAAGGUGUGCGAGAGAACUCUGGUUAAGGAACUCGGCAAAAUGACCCCGUAACUUCGGGAGAAGGGGUGCUUUCUUAACGGAAAGCCGCAGUGAAUAGGCCCAAGCGACUGUUUAGCAAAAACACAGCUCUCUGCGAAGCCGUAAGGCGAAGUAUAGGGGGUGACACCUGCCCGGUGCUGGAAGGUUAAGGAGAGGGGUUAGCGUAAGCGAAGCUCUGAACUGAAGCCCCAGUAAACGGCGGCCGUAACUAUAACGGUCCUAAGGUAGCGAAAUUCCUUGUCGGGUAAGUUCCGACCCGCACGAAAGGUGUAACGAUUUGGGCACUGUCUCAACCAGAGACUCGGUGAAAUUAUAGUACCUGUGAAGAUGCAGGUUACCCGCGACAGGACGGAAAGACCCCGUGGAGCUUUACUGUAGCCUGAUAUUGAAUUUUGGUACAGUUUGUACAGGAUAGGCGGGAGCCUUUGAAACCGGAGCGCUAGCUUCGGUGGAGGCGCUGGUGGGAUACCGCCCUGACUGUAUUGAAAUUCUAACCUACGGGUCUUAUCGACCCGGGAGACAGUGUCAGGUGGGCAGUUUGACUGGGGCGGUCGCCUCCUAAAGUGUAACGGAGGCGCCCAAAGGUUCCCUCAGAAUGGUUGGAAAUCAUUCGUAGAGUGCAAAGGCAUAAGGGAGCUUGACUGCGAGACCUACAAGUCGAGCAGGGACGAAAGUCGGGCUUAGUGAUCCGGUGGUUCCGCAUGGAAGGGCCAUCGCUCAACGGAUAAAAGCUACCCCGGGGAUAACAGGCUUAUCUCCCCCAAGAGUCCACAUCGACGGGGAGGUUUGGCACCUCGAUGUCGGCUCAUCGCAUCCUGGGGCUGUAGUCGGUCCCAAGGGUUGGGCUGUUCGCCCAUUAAAGCGGUACGCGAGCUGGGUUCAGAACGUCGUGAGACAGUUCGGUCCCUAUCCGUCGUGGGCGUAGGAAAUUUGAGAGGAGCUGUCCUUAGUACGAGAGGACCGGGAUGGACGCACCGCUGGUGUACCAGUUGUUCUGCCAAGGGCAUAGCUGGGUAGCUAUGUGCGGAAGGGAUAAGUGCUGAAAGCAUCUAAGCAUGAAGCCCCCCUCAAGAUGAGAUUUCCCAUAGCGUAAGCUAGUAAGAUCCCUGAAAGAUGAUCAGGUUGAUAGGUUCGAGGUGGAAGCAUGGUGACAUGUGGAGCUGACGAAUACUAAUAGAUCGAGGACUUAACCAUAUA
rnacentral:rRNA from 2 species